GAAAAAGUAUGCAAGAACUGCUAAUUCUAUGCCCCCAUGUCUGACAACAUGGCUUUUUCA
rnacentral:tRNA from 1 species